CAGAAAGUAGUUUAAUUUAAAAUAUUAAUUUUGGAGAUUAAUGAUAAAAUUUAUUUUUUUUCUGA
rnacentral:tRNA from 1 species